GGAGUAGAUUGCAGUCUCUUGGAAUCUGGACACCCCUGUCCUAUGAGAACCCAUGGCUUAAAUUGUCAAAAAAUCUAUAACCUUUCUACAGAAGUCCUAGCCAUUUCCCCUUGUUUCGUGAGAGGGAGGAAUGCAGUACUCCUCUAACCUACUUCACAACGCUUGCCGUAACUUAUAGAAGUAGUGCACAGUAAAGAAAAACCCAGAGAAAUAGAGGCGGGAGCCCCGGGGAGAGUUCUCUUUUCUUUGUGAAGGGCAGGGCGCCCUGGAAUGGGUUCGCCCCGAGAGAGGGGCCCGAGCCUUGGAAAGCGUCGCGGUUCCGGCGGCGUCCGGUGAGCUCUCGCUGGCCCUUGAAAAUCCGGGGGAGAGGGUGUAAAUCUCGCGCCGGGCCGUACCCAUAUCCACAGCAGGUCUCCAAGGUGAACAGCCUCU